UGGGGAAUAUUGCACAAUGGGCGCAAGCCUGAUGCAGCAACGCCGCGUGAGGGAUGACGGCCUUCGGGUUGUAAACCUCUUUUAGCAGGGAAGAAGCGAAAGUGACGGUACCUGCAGAAAAAGCACCGGCUAACUACGUGCCAGCAGCCGCGGUAAUACGUAGGGUGCAAGCGUUGUCCGGAAUUAUUGGGCGUAAAGAGCUCGUAGGCGGUCUGUCGCGUCUGCUGUGAAAUCCCGAGGCUCAACCUCGGGCCUGCAGUGGGUACGGGCAGACUAGAGUGCGGUAGGGGAGAAUGGAACUCCUGGUGUAGCGGUGGAAUGCGCAGAUAUCAGGAAGAACACCGAUGGCGAAGGCAGUUCUCUGGGCCGUAACUGACGCUGAGGAGCGAAAGCGUGGGGAGCGAACAGGAUUAGAUACCCUGGUAGUCCACGCCGUAAACGUUGGGCGCUAGAUGUGGGGACCAUUCCACGGUUUCCGUGUCGCAGCUAACGCAUUAAGCGCCCCGCCUGGGGAGUACGGCCGCAAGGCU
rnacentral:rRNA from 1 species